GAUGAACGCUGGCGGCGUGCCUAAUACGUGCAAGUCGAGCGAACAGACGAGGAGCUUGCUCCUUUGACGUUAGCGGCGGACGGGUGAGUAACACGUAGGUAACCUACCUAUAAGACUGGGAUAACUUCGGGAAACCGGAGCUAAUACCGGAUAAUAUUUCGAACCGCAUGGUUCGAUAGUGAAAGAUGGCUUUGCUAUCACUUAUAGAUGGGCCUGCGCCGUAUUAGCUAGUUGGUAAGGUAACGGCUUACCAAGGCAACGAUACGUAGCCGACCUGAGAGGGUGAUCGGCCACACUGGAACUGAGACACGGUCCAGACUCCUACGGUAGGCAGCAGUAGGGAAUCUUCCGCAAUGGGCGAAAGCCUGACGGAGCAACGCCGCGUGAGUGAUGAAGGUCUUCGGAUCGUAAAACUCUGUUAUUAGGGAAGAACAAACGUGUAAGUAACUGUGCACGUCUUGACGGUACCUAAUCAGAAAGCCACGGCUAACUACGUG
rnacentral:rRNA from 1 species